GACGAACGCUGGCGGCGUGCUUAACACAUGCAAGUCGAGCGGUAAGGCCCUUUCGGGGGUACGACGAGCGGCGAACGGGUGAGUAACACGUGGGUGACCUGCCCUCAGCUCUGGGAUAAGCCUGGGAAACCGGGUCUAAUACUGGAUAUGACUCCAUGACGCAUGUUGUGGGGUGGAAAGCCUUGUGCGGCUGAGGAUGGGCCCGCGGCCUAUCAGCUUGUUGGUGGGGUGANGGCCUACCAAGGCGACGACGGGUAGCCGGCCUGAGAGGGCGACCGGCCACACUGGGACUGAGACACGGCCCAGACUCCUACGGGAGGCAGCAGUGGGGAAUCUUGCGCAAUGGGCGAAAGCCUGACGCAGCGACGCCGCGUGAGGAUGACGGCC
rnacentral:rRNA from 1 species